UACGUAGGCAGCGAGCGUUGUUCGGAGUUACUGGGCGUAAAGCGUGCGCAGGCGGUCUGUUAAGACCGAUGUGAAAUCCCCGGGCUUAACCUGGGAACUGCAUUGGUGACUGGCAGGCUUUGAGUGUGGCAGAGGGAGGUAGAAUUCCACGUGUAGCAGUGAAAUGCGUAGAGAUGUGGAGGAAUACCGAUGGCGAAGGCAGCCUCCUGGGCCAACACUGACGCUCAUGACAC
rnacentral:rRNA from 1 species